rnacentral:tRNA from 1 species
GGGAAUAUAACUCAAUGGUAGAGUGUAUGCUUUGCAAGCAUAAAGUUAUCGGUUCAAGCCCGAUUAUUUCCA